UCUCACAAGAUCUGACGGGUUUAUCAGGGGCUUAAGCUUUUGCUUCUCUCUCAUUUUCUCUUGCCGACACCAGGAUUCUGAGGCCUCCCCAGCCAUGUGGAACUAAUAUAAUUUCUUUGAUGAGCUUCUCCUUAUUUCUAAACUUUGGGGAAUUAAAAUCUCUGUAAUUUCAUUAUCCCGUUGAAAGGCAGGAAGCAGCAGCUAAGCUCAGAAGAAGAUGGCAAUAAAAGUGAAAACUGGAGAAACCAGAGCCAAAGACAUUUCCAAAGGUUUAAUUUCCAAAGAUAGAAUUGGGGGUCUACAAGUAUAAAUGUCGUUCUUGAUACAUCUUCCCAAACCGUCUCUAAUAGUAUUGCACCAGUUUCACUGCCACCAAUAUUCUAGGACAAGAAUCUGUAACUCACCAAGCUGCAGAUGGCAGGAACAAAAGAGUUGUAACACUCCUGUUUGCCAAGCUGCAGGUAGCAGGAACAAAAGAGCUGCAACCCACUCAUUCACUGAGCUGCAGAUGGUAGGAAUAAAAGAGCUGUAACCCUCCCUCUCGCUCACCAAACAUGGGAACGAAGAAGCCGUAAUACUACCACUAGCAAUUUCACUGCUAGUAAAGCUGGUUGUCUUCAGAUAAGUAAUUAUCUUCAGAUAACAUCUUAUUCCCUAUAGAAUUAAUUGAGUCGACCUCAGAUAUCUUAAUAAAAAAUAUAUAUUAAGUUUCAAAUACAGUCAUUAUUCAGUUGCUAAUAAAUGACUGUUGUAGUUCUUCAUAAGAGUUUUCCAGGUUCUUCAAAUCCUUUGGUUGUAAAAUAGAAAGUUGUGCCUUGUAUUUCUAUCAUGGACAUAAAAUUUUCAAC